CACUAUAAGAUAAUUUCAUUCUAAAAAGAAAAUAUAUAGAACACAAAUUUCAUGAAAAUCCUUACUUCCUGCGAACCACAUCACAUAAUGAAAAGCAAAAACAUAAAAUUUAACAAGCUAGGAUGAGAUUAGAGUGUGGCUGCAUUAAUGAAAAUACACUAAAUUGAUAGUUUCUGCAAGUGCAACAGGACAACCACAGUAACAAAAGGGCCCUCGCUUGUUAUCUUUAAUCCUCCAACCUUCUUCCCCACCUUCACAGUCCUUCAACUACGACAUCAAAAUGAAAAGAGAAAUUAUAGAAGCAUGCAUGGCACAACUCUGUGCUAGCUGCAAGCAUAACUUCCUAGCUAAACGACAACACAGACCUUAUUCAUGAUCACAAUACUAGACGAUUAUUCAGCAACCCAGAGAGAGCUGACAUGACUGGUUAGUUUUAGCAAUCUGAUCCAAAGCAGAUCCCUAUUGGAUAUAGGCAUCCACAGUUUCCGCAACAAUUCUUUGGAUUGGGAAAGCACCAGCCUCCACUAGAGAUACAACCAAGGUUACUUUCAUCUUGCAGCAAUAUGUUUGAAGUCAUGAGCAGUGGAAAUUGCCGCAUAGCAAGGGCGGACGGGGCAAUGGUGGCGACAAAAACCAAGGCAACCAUCAGCAGCAGAGUGACCUUCUUGCUGUCCAUGAUCUCUGUCUUACUCUUGAUCUAUGGCUACUUCGCUUCUGAAGUUGUUAAAAGCUUGUAUGUUGCAUGAUACCUUGGCUUGAGACUUCAAUUUAUAAUGGUGGGAGAUAUACAAGCUGUAGCUUUAUAAUAAUUGAAUAUAUAUCUGCAUAUAUGCAUGGGGUUUCACCUCAUCAACAG
rnacentral:lncRNA from 1 species